rnacentral:lncRNA from 1 species
CCAACUACCCGAAGCCCAAAUUAAAAUGGCCCAGGACCCAAUCACCAGUCAAACUAGGGUUUCAGUUUUCUGAAACCCUAGCUUACCUGCCCUCAGCGCCGCUACCACCACCCACCGCCACCAACUCCAUCAACACCUGCAAAAAUGACAGAAAAGAAAGCAGGAACACGCAACAGAUAGUUCAAAACAGCAAAUACAACCAAAAAUGCAUUGUAAAUUGGCUAUAAAAGCCAAACACUAUCUCUGUAAAUUUUUU